rnacentral:rRNA from 1 species
UACGUACCACACGAACGUUAUUCGGAAUCACUGGGCUUAAAGGGUGCGCAGGCUGUGCAGAAAGUCGGGUGUGAAAUCCCUCGGCUCAACCGAGGAACUGCGCCCGAAACUACUGUGCUCGAGGGAGAUAGAGGUGAGCGGAACUUAGGGUGGAGCGGUGAAAUGCGUUGAUAUCCUAAGGAACACCGGUGGCGAAAGCGGCUCACUGGAUCUCUUCUGACGCUCAUGCACGAAAGCCAGGGGAGCGAACGGG